rnacentral:rRNA from 1 species
UACGAAGGGGGCUAGCGUUGCUCGGAAUCACUGGGCGUAAAGGGUGCGUAGGCGGGUUAUUAAGUCAGAGGUGAAAUCCUGGAGCUCAACUCCAGAACUGCCUCUGAUACUGAUAGUCUUGAGUAUGGGAGAGGUGAGUGGAACUGCGAGUGUAGAGGUGAAAUUCGUAGAUAUUCGCAAGAACACCAGUGGCGAAGGCGGCUCACUGGCCCAUUACUGACGCUGAGGCACGAAAGCGUGGGGAGCAAACAGG